GGGGGCUGGGGCGGCGGACCAGGGCCUUCUUGCUGGGCACGAGAGUGACUCCGUAUCGGACGGGACGUGUCGGUACCGCGCCGGGGGCCUCCC
rnacentral:tRNA from 1 species